AGCCUGAUGCGCCAUGCCGCGUGUGUGAAGAAGGCCUUCGGGUUGUAAAGCACUUUCAGUCGUGAGGAAGGUGGUGUAGUUAAUAGCUGCAUUAUUUGACGUUAGCGACAGAAGAAGCACCGGCUAACUCCGUGCCAGCAGCCGCGGUAAUACGGAGGGUGCGAGCGUUAAUCGGAAUUACUGGGCGUAAAGCGCAUGCAGGUGGUUUGUUAAGUCAGAUGUGAAAGCCCGGGGCUCAACCUCGGAAUAGCAUUUGAAACUGGCAGACUAGAGUACUGUAGAGGGGGGUAGAAUUUCAGGUGUAGCGGUGAAAUGCGUAGAGAUCUGAAGGAAUACCGGUGGCGAAGGCGGCCCCCUGGACAGAUACUGACACUCAGAUGCGAAAGCGUGGGGAGCAAACAGGAUUAGAUACCCUGGUAGUCCACGCCGUAAACGAUGUCUACUUGGAGGUUGUGGCCUUGAGCCGUGGCUUUCGGAGCUAACGCGUUAAGUAGACCGCCUGGGGAGUACGGUCGCAAGAUUAAAACUCAAAUGAAUUGACGGGGGCCCGCACAAGCGGUGGAGCAUGUGGUUUAAUUCGAUGCAACGCGAAGAACCUUACCUACUCUUGACAUCCAGAGAACUUUCCAGAGAUGGAUUGGUGCCUUCGGGAACUCUGAGACAGGUGCUGCAUGGCUGUCGUCAGCUCGUGUUGUGAAAUGUUGGGUUAAGUCCCGCAACGAGCGCAACCCUUAUCCUUGUUUGCCAGCGAGUAAUGUCGGGAACUCCAGGGAGACUGCCGGUGAUAAACCGGAGGAAGGUGGGGACGACGUCAAGUCAUCAUGGCCCUUACGAGUAGGGCUACACACGUGCUACAAUGGCGCAUACAGAGGGCAGCAAGCUAGCGAUAGUGAGCGAAUCCCAAAAAGUGCGUCGUAGUCCGGAUUGGAGUCUGCAACUCGACUCCAUGAAGUCGGAAUCGCUAGUAAUCGUGGAUCAGAAUGCCACGGUGAAUACGUUCCCGGGCCUUGUACACACCGCCCGUCACACCAUGGGAGUGGGCUGCAAAAGAAGUAGGUAGUUUAACCUUCGGGAGGACGCUUACCACUUUGUGGUUCAUGACUGGGGUGAAUCG
rnacentral:rRNA from 1 species